AGGAUGAACGCUGGCGGCGUGCUUAACACAUGCAAGUCGAACGAUGAAGGCUGGAGCUUGCUCUGGCUGGAUUAGUGGCGAACGGGUGAGUAACACGUGAGUAACCUGCCCCAGACUCUGGGAUAAGCGCUGGAAACGGCGUCUAAUACCGGAUACGAGCUUCCACCGCAUGGUGAGGAGCUGGAAAGAAUUUCGGUCUGGGAUGGACUCGCGGCCUAUCAGCUUGUUGGUGAGGUAAUGGCUCACCAAGGUCGACGACGGGUAGCCGGCCUGGAGAGGGUGACCGGCCACACGUGGGACUGAGACACGGCCAGACUCCGUACGGGAGGCAGCGAGGUGGGAAUAGUGCACAAGUGGCGACAAG
rnacentral:rRNA from 1 species